rnacentral:rRNA from 1 species
UACGUAGGUGGCAAGCGUUAUCCGGAAUUAUUGGGCGUAAAGCGCGCGUAGGCGGCUUCGCAAGUCAGAGGUGAAAGCCUGGGGCUCAACCCCAGAACUGCCUUUGAGACUGCGUCGCUCGAAUCCGGGAGAGGUGAGUGGAAUUCCGAGUGUAGAGGUGAAAUUCGUAGAUAUUCGGAAGAACACCAGUGGCGAAGGCGGCUCACUGGACCGGCAUUGACGCUGAGGUGCGAAAGCGUGGGGAGCAAACAGG